UUGUAUUGCAAAUAUUCUGCUGGGCAAUCAAUAAACAAUGAGGACAAUUGCGAUUCAAAUGCUCACCCAAAUGAGCCAAAAAAAGAAAAAAGCAUAAUUGAUAGUUGACUACAAGUGCAUUGAACAAUAGCAAUUUACCGUUAGGCUUGGAAACAGAUAGACAAGUGACAAAUCAGUUAACUGAGAAAAAAUGGUAUAUAGAUUAGAAGCAGCUAACUGUGCCUAAAGCUGCAAAUUUUAAAAUUAGGCCUAAGUUGAUUUCCCUUCAUUUCGUCAGAUAUGAAGCCGAAACUAUGCCUAUGCAUUGAACUUCACCAAAAUAUACCCGCACUAUAUUGCUAAGGUAAUACCCAGCACGAAAAUAAUCCCUAACCCCUUGUUUGGGGGGAGGAGUUUUUUAAAGUACUAAGGUGUUUGUAUGUUUAAAAAUCUUGAACUUUUGCUUGGGGAGGAUAGAAGAUUGUUUAAAGUAUGAUGUCCAACCCACCAAAUUAGUGGGUUAAGGAGGUUCAAAUACUUUAAAAAAUUUUCAUUUUUUUUUAAACACUAAAAAAUUAUCAAUCUCUGAAAUUAUGAAUAUCAAAACCAUGAAAAAUCUUAUUUUAAAAAACUUUCCACUAUAAAAUCGUACUAUACUCUGCUCCUCCCAAAACAGAGGGUAAGGCGAUCAUACCUCAAAAGCAUUAAAAAGAAUUAAAAAAAGCCCUCUACUCUCAAUCUCAAAACAAAUUCAUAGCUCAGACAAGAAGAAACACGCUGCAGAGAUAUUAUACAAACCGUCUUCCUCAAGAUCGCUGCCAGAAUCGAUGGGUUCAAAUUUGUCUGUGGCGCCCUCGGACGCAGGCGGAUCAGGGACUUGAAGGGAUUCGGUCUCAAUGAUGUGAGAAGUACGGGAUCGGAUGCCAAGAAAAUUAGGGUUGGAAACAACACCGAAGGAUUUGUAGUUCUGGAUGACGCUAGCCUUGUCGUCCCAUUUGGAGCGAUCGGCGUCGGAGAGAGAGCGAAGCUUUGGAGGAAGAUUGAAGGCGGGCUUGAACACGCGUGGGUUCUUCUUAGGGAGACUCACCCGAACCUUAUGCCUUGAUGCCUUGUAUUUUCUUCUUGACCUUCCCAUCUCCCUCUCUCUCUCUCUCUACUCCCUCAGCCCUCUGCCUUCAACCGUCCAACAAUUGUCUUCUUUACUCGCAAAAUAAAUUUUUGAGCCGUAAACAGAGACCUCCAAUGGAGCCUUAAUGUUCCCAAUGAACUCGACAAGAUUCUGAAUUAUUUUUUCUUAACGAAACCGCACUUGUUCUGACUGAAAAAUCUCGCGGAUCUAGAAUAAUUCAACUGUUUUUUUUUUGUCAAUGAAACAGAUUAAUCAAUGACAAACGACGGUCUGUGAGGCACAGGAGGGGAUAUUUUGGAGAUUGAGAGAGAUGGUGGAUUUGAGGUUAGUCUUUCGAUUUCCAGGUAGAGAGUUCACCGGAUUUAAUGGAUAAACCGUCGUAGAGCAACAGUAGUGCCGUCGUCAAACUCCGGCGAGCACGUGAGCCCUGUGUCUCUCUCCUAUCCGUGCUCUCUGUAUCUAUCUCUAUCCCACGAAGUACAGAAAAUUGCUAAGUUUCCAUAGUUUUCUUCUUUCUCCGAUCUCCCAAUCGCUCUCCCAUAUCUGUCUUAUCUAAAUUUUUAGGUCUUCCUUUUCAGAAUUUCAGAAAAUUGAAGAAGAAGAAGAAGGGCAG
rnacentral:misc_RNA from 1 species